CCCGUCCCGCGCACUAAACAACCCGACUUUCAGCACUGAGGGAGCAUUCAGCAGAAUAGAGAGGGAUGGCGCGUGGUGCAGCUCUGUUGGCGACGCUGAUGGUGGUGGUGAUGGUGGUGGCGGUGGUGGUGGUGGUGGUGGUGGUGGCGACUGCUGCUGAUGUGCCAUUCGUUGAUACCAGGGAUGGCCGCGUCUCAGGCAUUGUGGAGGAAUCGGUGAAGGGCCGAGACUUUUCGUCAUUCUACGGCAUUCCCUACGCUCGGCCACCACUGGGGGAGGCUGCGAUUCAAGGAUCCCGAGCCCUUCCCAGACUGGGGGGCCAUGGGGGAAGCCUCCAUUCCCGCCCCGCCGUGCAUCCAGUAUUUCUCCGCAACAGAGAGAGUCGGAAUAAAGGAAGUGCUGGGUGAGGAAGAUUGCCUGUACCUCAACGUGUUUGUGCCCAAGAUUAAUGGAGACGCUAGCUUCCCGGUGAUGGUUUGGCUUCACGGGGGAAGGUUCACCCAUGGCAGUGCCCAG